GCUCCCAUCGUUCAAUGGAUAGGAUAUAUCCUUGCGGAGGAUACGAUGUAGGUUCGAUUCCUACUGGGAGCACAA
rnacentral:tRNA from 2 species